ACAAAAAACAUCGGGGCUCGUUGGCAGAGCAACCGAAGGGCAACGAAACAAAACACAGCCGAGGGGUUGUUUUUGGCAAACAAAACAAAAGUCGGAUCGACCUCGAACGCCGAGCGACCAGGUCGCUAGGCCGAGGGAUCCGGCGAACUCGCUGGGUGUUCUCAGCGCCUUGGGCCGUCGAAGCCUCCUCCUCCGAGGGGCUCCGUCGCCUUAAGUACAGACGAGCUCGACCGCGACCCCGGGCUUCCGGAACGGUGGGUCGCUUCAUUCAAAAAGCACUCGGCAUCGUCGGGAGGUUGGCCUCGACGUUAUAAGCACCCGAGUAUGUACUUUCUCACGUAUACCAACAGAUUUCUUACACAAAACCCGGGGGCGGAGUCGGGAGGCUCUGCUUUUUUCGGGGGUCGGCCGGCGUACCUCGUUGCGCGCCGCGACCGACCGAAUUGGCAUCUUACUUUUUUGA
rnacentral:misc_RNA from 1 species